UUGUUCUUAAUAUACUUUUUUCGAUUGAAGUUACCCAGAACGCCCGAAGACUAGUUUUCGCCAACUCUUAAUUCUUUGAAUUAUUUUGGUUUUGACAGGUCGCGUUAAGCAGAACCUGAUAGUCCUUAUCAAGGUUUUUGGAAGCCACCUUACGGGUUUAGUAUCUGGGAAAAGUUCAGCCAAGAAGUUCAGGAGCUGUCGUUUGGGUUUGAAAACCUGCUGCAAAGAAACAAAGAUCGCUUUGCUCACUCCAGGAAAGAGACUUCAAAGAAACGAAGACAACAGAAAUACACCAUUGCAAGUAAGGCAAGGUUAGUUUCUUUCAAAUAAUUAAUAUAGUCAGAAGUUUAUAAUAAAAUUCUGAUAUAGUAUAAUACAGGCCUUCUAAUAAUGUCGCCUCAGCCGUCCCCCUCCUUCACUAAACCAACUUAAAGGCUUAACUAAGGAAGUGCGUAGAUGCUACUGUCGUUUUUCGAAGACCCUGCUUCGAAAUGGACAUUUGCAUACGCUUCUCAUGAAACUGCGGAACAGUUUAACCUUCCCCAGCAAAAAUUAAAUAAAAGGAACGAUUUGUUGUUUACCUCUUGAGCAUUUUGCUCCCUCCUAACUUGUUGGGUGCCCCUGUUCUGACUCUAACUCGAUACAAAGAAAAGCAUUCGGGCAUCAGGGUGUCACGCGCGAUAAACGUUAAAAAAGUUAUCGUGAUAGACGCAUGAA